rnacentral:misc_RNA from 1 species
GAUGAAGAACGUAGCGAAAUGCGAUAAGUAAUGUGAAUUGCAGAAUUCAGUGAAUCAUCGAAUCUUUGAACGCACAUUGCGCCCGUCAGUAUUCUGGCGGGCAUGCCUGUUCGAGCGUCAUUUCAACCAUCAAGCCCCAGGCUUGUGUUGGGGACCUGCGGCUGCCGCAGGCCCUGAAAACCAGUGGCGGGCUCGCUGUCACACCGGGCGUAGUAGAUUUUAUCUCGCUCUGGGCGUGCUGCGGGUUCCGGCCGUUAAAAAACCCUUUUAACCCAAGGUUGACCUCGGAUCAGGUAGGAAUACCCGCUGAACUUAAGCAUAUCAAUAAGCGGAGGA